UGGAAGGUAGCUUAAGAAAAGCUUUAGAUUUUUACUCUAAGAAUGGUGUUCCCCUUCUAA
rnacentral:tRNA from 1 species